rfam:Tatumella ptyseos ATCC 33301 GTPT.assembly.024, whole genome shotgun sequence.
UGUUUCUGAACAUGGCUUAAAGGCCACUGCACACGAAACAGAGAGAGCUGUCUCAGCCCUGUUCCUUGUGCAGAGUAACAGACGUAAUAUAAGACUGGAAACGCAUGAACCCCAUCCUGAUUAAUAAGCUCCAGCGAAAACUGGGCUAUACUUUUUCUC